UAGGGAUCAACCAUCCCAGUUUGCCAGGAAUGGAGGGGUAUUUGGAAUACAAGACCCUCAGGGAUAAAACUGGGACAGUUCUAGGCAAACUGGGACAGUUGGUCACCCUAAUCCAAG
rnacentral:miRNA from 1 species